rnacentral:lncRNA from 1 species
ACCUGGGCAGGUGUGACAAGGACAGGUGGGACAAGCCCAGGGACAUCGGUGACACCUGUCACGCGUUGUCACCUGUGUCACACCUGUGCCACACCUGUGUCACUCCCCGUGUCCCCAACACCGCCAAGGGUUGUGUCACACACACAGGGCCGAGCCCAGGUGUGUCACACUCAGGUGUGUCCCAGGUGUCCCCUCCAUGUCACACUCAGGUGUGUCCCACUCAGGUGUGUCACACACCCAGGUGUGUCCCAGGUGUCCCACUCAGGUGUGUCACACACUCAGGUGUGUCCCAGGUGUCCCCUCCGUGUCCCACCUGGCGCCACCGGCUCCGGCCGCACCUGCAGAGACACCCAGGGGGGAUUUUAGGGAAUUUUAGGGAAUUUUCCCUUUUCCCCAAGAUUUUUCCCCAAAAUUUUUUUAGGAUUUUCCCCCAAAAUUUUUUUACAAUUUUCCCCCAAAAUUUUUUUACAAUUUUCCCCCAAAUUUUUUUAAGAUUUUCCCCAAAAUUUUUAAGAUUUUCCCCCAAAUUUUUUAAGAUUUUCCCCCAAAUUUUUUAAGAUUUUCCCCAAAAUUCUUUAAGAUUUUCCCCCAAAUUUUUAAGAUUUUUUUCCCCCAAUUUUUAUAAGAUUCUUUUUCCCCAUUUUUCUAAAAUUUUCCUCCAAAUCUUUUUACAAUUUUCCCCUAUUUUUUUAAAUAUUUUACCCCAAAUUUUAAGAUUUUCCACCCAUUUUUUUAGGAUUUCCCCCCAUUUUUUAGGAUUUUUUCAGCAUUUUUCCCUCCCGUUUUUUAGGAUUUCCCAAAUCCCCUUCCCAGUUUUUUUUUUUUUA